rnacentral:rRNA from 1 species
AACGAACGCUGGCGGCAUGCCUAACACAUGCAAGUCGAACGAGACCUUCGGGCCUAGUGGCGCACGGGUGCGUAACGCGUGGGAACCUGCCCUUAGGUUCGGAAUAACUCCCCGAAAGGGGUGCUAAUACCGGAUAAUGUCUUCGGACCAAAGAUUUAUCGCCUUUGGAUGGGCCCGCGUUGGAUUAGCUAGUUGGUAGGGUAAAAGCCUACCAAGGCGACGAUCCAAAGCUGGUCUGAGAGGAUGAUCAGCCACACUGGGACUGAGACACGGCCCAGACGCCUACGGGAGGCAGCAGUGGGGACUAUUGGACAAUGGGCGAAAGCCUGAGCCAGCAAUGCCGCGUGAGUGAUGAAGGCCUUAGGGUUGUAAAGCUCUUUUACCCGGGAUGAUAAUGACAGUACCGGUAGAAUAAGCACCGGCUAACUCCGU